CCUACGGGUGGCAGCAGUGGGGAAUAUUGCACAAUGGGGGAAACCCUGAUGCAGCGACGCCGCGUGAGUGAAGAAGUAAUUCGUUAUGUAAAGCCCUAUCAGCCGGGAAGAAAAUGACGGUACCUGAGUAAUAAGCCACGGCUAACUACGUGCCAGCAGCCGCGGUAAUGCGUAGGGGGCACGCGUUAUCCGGAUUUACUGGGUGUAAAGGGAGCGUAGACGGCAGUGCAAGUCUGGAGGGAAAGGCGGGGGCUCAACCCCCGGACUGCUCUGGAAACUGUACGGCUGGAGUGCAGGAGAGGUAAGUGGAAUGCCUAGUGUAGCGGUGAAAUGCGUAGAUAUUAGGAGGAACACCAGUGGCGAAGGCGGCUUACUGGCACAUAACUGACGCUGAGGAGCGAAAGCGUGGGUAGCAAACAGGAUUAGAUACCCCAGUAGUC
rnacentral:rRNA from 1 species